rnacentral:rRNA from 1 species
UACGUGGGGGGCAAGCGUUGUUCGGAAUUACUGGGCGUAAAGGGUUCGUAGGCGGCUUGUUAAGUCAGACGUGAAAUCCCUCGGCUCAACCGGGGAACUGCGUCUGAGACUGAUGAGCUCGAGUGCAGGAGAGGAACGCGGAAUUCCAGGUGUAGCGGUGAAAUGCGUAGAUAUCUGGAGGAACACCGGUGGCGAAGGCGGCGUUCUGGACUGCAACUGACACUGAGACGCGAAAGCGUGGGGAGCGAACCGG